AAAGCCCCCGGCUAACUACGUGCCAGCAGCCGCGGUAAUACGUAGGGGGCAAGCGUUGUCCGGAAUUAUUGGGCGUAAAGCGCGCGCAGGCGGUCCUUUAAGUCUGAUGUGAAAGCCCACGGCUUAACCGUGGAGGGCCAUUGGAAACUGGAGGACUUGAGUACAGAAGAGGAGAGUGGAAUUCCACGUGUAGCGGUGAAAUGCGUAGAGAUGUGGAGGAACACCAGUGGCGAAGGCGACUCUCUGGUCUGUAACUGACGCUGAGGUGCGAAAGCGUGGGUAGCGAACAGGAUUAGAUACCCUGGUAGUCCACGCCGUAAACGAUGAGUGCUAGGUGUUAGGGGGUUUCCGCCCCUUAGUGCUGAAGUUAACGCAUUAAGCACUCCGCCUGGGGAGUACGGCCGCAAGGCUGAAACUCAAAAGAAUUGACGGGGACCCGCACAAGCGGUGGAGCAUGUGGUUUAAUUCGAAGCAACGCGAAGAACCUUACCAGGUCUUGACAUCCUCUGACACCCCUAGAGAUAGGGCAUUCCCUUCGGGGACAGAGUGACAGGUGGUGCAUGGUUGUCGUCAGCUCGUGUCGUGAGAUGUUGGGUUAAGUCCCGCAACGAGCGCAACCCUUGAUCUUAGUUGCCAGCAUUUAGUUGGGCACUCUAAGGUGACUGCCGGUGACAAACCGGAGGAAGGUGGGGAUGACGUCAAAUCAUCAUGCCCCUUAUGACCUGGGCUACACACGUGCUACAAUGGAUGGA
rnacentral:rRNA from 1 species